rnacentral:rRNA from 1 species
UACGAAGGGGGCUAGCGUUGUUCGGAAUUACUGGGCGUAAAGCGCACGUAGGCGGAUAUUUAAGUCAGGGGUGAAAUCCCAGAGCUCAACUCUGGAACUGCCUUUGAUACUGGGUAUCUUGAGUAUGGAAGAGGUAAGUGGAAUUGCGAGUGUAGAGGUGAAAUUCGUAGAUAUUCGCAGGAACACCAGUGGCGAAGGCGGCUUACUGGUCCAUUACUGACGCUGAGGUGCGAAAGCGUGGGGAGGCAAACAGG